rnacentral:lncRNA from 1 species
AAAGAUAAGUAGCAGUGCUUCAGAGUGAAAUAUGGAUUCUAAAUCUACUUUUGGACAAUGACCCAAAAACAAACCUCCAGGCUGUGUAAGGGCUAUUUGACCAAGAAGGAGAGUGAUGGAGUGCUGCAUCAGAUGACUUGGCCUCCACAAUCACCUGACCUCAACCCAAUUGAAAUGGUUUAGGAUGAGUUGACCGCAGAGUGAAGGAAAGCAGCCACCAAGUGGUCAGCAUAUGUGGGAACUCCAAGACUGCCAGAAAAGCAUUCCAGACAUAGAUGAGUGUGUUGAGAACCAACAUAUUUGUGGGGAACGGGGAAUCGAUCUCAAUCAGUUGGGCAGCUACCUGUGCAAGUGUCACACAGGAUUCAGUAACUAUGGCAACAGACUAGCUCAGUGUGCAGGUGAGAGACACAUUUCUUCUUGGGUGUUGUUGUGUUGGGUUUUGUCUAAAUACUCUAAGGUGGC